CAGUCCCCGUCAACCCUACACUACAGGAACAAAGCAUUGACCUCCCUGUUGUUAUCUCGGUUUUACUUCGUCAUCAGCUUGAUACCAGUCUCAUCGAUGAAAGCAAAUUCAUACCGCUAAAUGUUCUGCAUCAGCCAUACUGCAUAUUAUUGAUGUGUGGUUGCUUCAGUCCUAUCAGAAUUUGUUUCCGCGGAAGCAUCCACGGGAUUUUAUUUGAUGAUUGAUGGUGAUAAAUUCUCCCAAAAGGGAUACUGCUUAGGGCCGUCGUCAACUCAGUUUGAGCACAUUAAAAUGCUUCUCACGCUGAAUAAUCUUUGUGAAGGAUAUUUGCUUUUGCUAUGUGACAUUUGAACUUGUUAUUAUAGUGUUAAGGGGCCCAUACACGAUAAAAAAGUCGUCAAAAUUUUUAUUCAAAUUUUUUAAUGGGAAAUUGUGAUUCAGAAUUUUGAUGCAAAAUUUCCCACACACGUAUCCACGUUUAAAAAAAAAAUCCAAAGUCAGUUUUAUUAAAAUUUUCGACAUGGACGUAUCAGUGGCCAUAGCACUUGUAAUUGCCUUGGACUUGGAUGAAAGACCUCGUAAACGGCGGAAAUGGUCCAAGAACUAGUUAUUACAGCGCUGAACCCUCCGACAUGCUAAUCUUCUAAAAGAAUUACGUAUUAGCGAACCUGAGAACUUCUGUAACUUCUUCCUAAUGGAUGCGCAAUCGUUUGAUGAGUUACUCGGCCUUGUUGAGCCAUUGAUAAGGAAAAAAAGACACAGUAAUGCGUUCAUCCAUUUCACAAACUGAACGCUUGUCCAUCACACUGAGGUACCUGUCGUCUGGAAAUUCCUUUGAAGACUUGAAGUUCCUGACAGCAACAUUGCCACAUGCGAUAGGAAAGUUGGUCAUCGAAACAUGCGAGGCCAUUAUCGUUUGUCUGAAGCGUCAGGGGGUUAUAAAGAUUCCAACAACACCAGAAGAAUGGAGACUGACGAGUGAAGCCUUCAAGUCGACCUGGAAUUUUCCGCACUGCUUAGGAGCUAUAGAUGGAAAGCACAUUGCUAUUUAAAAAAAAACAAACUGUCGAAUCCGGUUCAUUUUACUUCAAUUACAAGAAAUUCUUCAGCAUCGUACUCAUGGCAGUUGUCAAUGCCAAUUAUGAAUUCAUUAUGGCCGAUGCAGGAGUCAAUGGGCGCGUUUGAGAUGGAGGAGUGGUAGCAGUGACUGAAUUCCGCUGACGCCUUAAAGAAGCCGCUUUGAACCUUCGGAACCAGAGCCAAUCAUUCAGGACGGAAGCGAAAUGCCGUUUGUUUUCGUCGCAGAUGAUGCAUUUGUAAUGACAGAAAAUCUGUUAAAGUCAUACGGAGGAGACAAAUUAGAUCAUGACCAACGCGUGUUCAACUAUCGCUUGAGCAGAGCGAGGCGGGUGUCAGAAAUGCUUUUGGGAUACUGUCCACCAGGUUUGGGGUACUGUUAUCUGCACAAUUUUCUUCGAAACAAACCAAAACACUACUUGAGAGCUGGGAGUGUGGACUGGGAAGAUGCUGAUCACGAGAUCCACCCAGCUGACUGGCGAGAAGAACAACAUCUAAUUGAAAGUUUGAGGACAUGCAGAAGUAGAAACAUUGGAGCGGUGGUACACGGUGUACGAGAUUCCUACCGUCAACGCUUUUGCACACAAGGACAAGUUCCAUGGCAAGAUGCCAGAAUUGCGUAAUGAUUUCCUACAAACAGACUUUAUGGGCAUCUAAAUGAGACUGUGUGGCCUGUGUAUGGUUAAUGGAUAAAAUGAAGCUGAACGCGAUUUGGUGCAGGGUUGACUUCAAAGUGAUCAACUGGAACAGAAUGUCAAGAUUUUCUGGGCUUAUGGAUCAAUUGCAGUUUUCAUGGCUAGAUGAAAUUGGGGGACAAUAAUAAAUACAAUUUACUUACAU